AGACUCCUAUCGGGCAUUUUAGAGUUAAAUAGGAACUCCAAUCACAUGAGCUAACUCUCUUAAUAAAUAUGGAAAAGGAUUUGUUCCAAUCAAUUCUCUUCUCCAUUUUGAAGCUGUUAAUCUCUAGUAGAAUCUUGAAUGACCCUCGCUUUCCUCUCUGUGUUCUCUUGUCCUCCUCUCCUUGGUCCUUCUCUUCCCGCUCACUGAAGGAAAUGGCACAGGGUAAUGGGAGAGGUCCAGAGGCCAGAGAGGAAUGCCAGAGGAAUGCCAGGCAGAGGUGGUGGCCUUUGUGAUUCACUCCAGCCGUGAUCGGUCAACCAUAGGCAUAUCAUUUUUGUCCGUGCCUGGUUCAAGAAUGGCCUAUUCUGACCAAGAGCACGAGGAGAAGUGUGCAGGAGGAUUUCUAGAAAAGGUUUCCUCUCUUCUAAGGAGACGUAGGAAGAAGUAACCGCUCUUCUCCCUCUGAAUUUUGUCUUCAGGACUUGUCCAGCCAUCCUGCUGCCUGCUUGAGAUGGAAGCAUGCUCUGGGGAUGGUCAAGGGACCAUGGAAAGAUCUGUGCCCUCAAGGAUAUUCUUGAGCCACCAGAUCAAACAAGUGCAGAUACUCACACACCCUCUGACCUGCUGCUAUGAGGGGUGAUAAGUUUUCUGACUGUGAACCAACUGUAUGACUCACAGUUGUGAGCCCCUGCAAGAAAUGAUCAACAAUGUACCCUGAUGAAUCACAAAACAGAACAAUGACCAAAUCUGGGAGUAUUUGGGCAGUAUUUUCACCCGGAACAUGCAAGGUAAGAGCCAGGUGAGUAAUUAGCCAUGACUUUUAAUAAGUGACUAAUCCCCUGAGAGAAAGCUUUGCCAAAGUAGAGUCAAUGUGAAAAUGCAGAUUGUUAUGAAGUCUUUGACGUCUUAUUCAUUCAGUGGAUACUUGUGGAGCUUCUCAUAGGAAAUCAAAUGCUGUACACAACCCUGGGGACAUUACAAGAGGAGGCAUGGUCCCUACUUAAGGAAUUCAUGGCUUCAUGGUAGCAGCUGGUAUCCUAAUGUCAAUAAAAAUCAGCUAUAAUACAAAUGGGGUGCUACAGUCAAGAUAUAUAUGACAAGUUACGGGAUAUUAAGAUGGACGAUGCCUAAUCUGUUCAGAGAAAGUCAGGGGAGACUUUAGAGAGGAGAUAACUCUGGAACUGAGACCUAUAUAUUAAAAAGGGUUAGGAGAACAAGGUGAGGAAAAGCAUUUUAGCCAGAGAGUACAGCAUCUGCCAGCGGGGAUUGCAUGGAGGUUGAAACAAAAAGCAGAGUACAUCAGAAGUAAUUUACCGGGGGGUACAGCAAACGGUGUAUAGGAAAUGGAGCUGGUGAGGAGGGGGAGUCAGGUUCUAGGAGGUGGAGGGCCUCCUAGGACAUCAUAAGGAGCUAAGAUUGUAUUUUGUGCAUAAUGAAGAGCCGUUGCCCAGUUUUAAGUCGGGGUGAGACAUACGGUGUUGCAGUCCUGAGAGAUUACCCACCCUGGGAACAGCACAGGGUAUGGACUGUGAGAAGCUGAAUCAAGAAGCGAGGAGGUGCCUUGCGGGGCUGCUGUAUUUCUGAACUUACUUGUGUUGUAUUUAUGAAUUUACGUUGUAUCUAUGUAUUUAGGGAAGCAGUCAUGGGGGUGAGGAGGAGGAAGCAUCUUCAGAAAAUACAGAGGGAAGGAAUCCCUGGACUUCACCGAUACUCAGCAGCACAUGACCAGCAUCUGUCUCUCCUUAAAGCCCUCCUCUUAUUUUUCAUCCUGGACACGAAACUCAUAGUUUGCCUUGUGUCUCACUGGCGCUUCCCUUUUUUCUGUCUCCUUUGCCAGCAACUCGUCCUUUUCCUGACCUCUGAUGUCGGCAGACCCUUUCAAACAAGAUGGGGAACCCGAAGGAGGCCAGGAGACCUGCUCCUGUCACUAACACACUGGGGUUGAGUCCAAGUGGAGCUCCUUCUCCCAGCCCGUGGUGCCUCUCCUGCCCUCAACCCCCACAUCCUCCCUUCCAGACCCUUGAGCAAAAGCUGCAGGUAAAGGAAUUUCCAAAUGCCUCUUUCAGAAUGAGUUAUUCCACCUAGGGAAAAAAAAGUCUCUUCCUCUUGAACCAUCUAGAAAAAAUUAAAGCUGACUCUGAAUAGUGGCAAAUUUUCCUAAUUUCCAAUGUGAGCUCAGGCACCCUCCAACUAUACACACAGAGUGUUGAAUAUGCAACAUGAAUUAAACAUAAAUUAAAGAUGCAUAUGAAAAAGCAUGUUGGGCAAUGCAAUUUCUAUUAGAAAAGCACUUUUUCCUCCUCUUCAUUCAAGUCCUAGGACAGAAAUCAUUUGUAGCUGAUAAUUAUAAAAAAGCAAUUUCAUGAAAAUUUAUGAAUAUUUUUUUUCUAACCUCUGGCUGAUUAACCAGGUAACUUAUUUAUUAAUGUGAAGGAAAAAGAGGACUAACUGUCUGCCCUAUAUUCUCACUUGGAAGAUUCCUCUGCUCUAACUAUCUUCAUUUUUUCAAGUAAAAAUUCUCCCAGUAGGAUUUUGUAUAACUGAAUACACAGAAAACCCUUCAGUAUCUUUUUUUUUUAAAGUAGGCUCCCCACCCAACAUGGGGCUCCAACCCAUGCCCCCCAGGUCAGGAGUCGCAUGCUGUCCCUACUGAGUCAGCCAGGCAUCUCAGACCCUUAGUAUCUUCGCAAGAAAUUUAUCUUGUUUCAAGUGUUUGCCUAUAUUAGUUACUUUUAUUUCAAAAAUACUUAAAUGUGCAGAUUUAAGGACAAUAACUCUUCCAUCAAAAGAUGUUCAUUUCCUUAAUGGAGAACAUAAUGUUUACAGUUAUUGAUUUAAUGUUGGAAGCUUUGAGCUGGCCUUAACUCCUUAACUUCAUACAACUUAGAGCAAGGCUUUAUUAAGGCUUUAUUUUUGUUACAGCCAGAAUUUCAGAACACAUACCAAAUAGAAAAGUAAGGGUUAUACAUGUAGCCAAACUGGGGAAAAGAGAGAAAGAAGGAGGGACCCAGCACGUAUUGGGAACUCAUUACGAGUAAAGGCAUAGCUUUAGAUGAGCCCUUUCUAUACUGUAGAAAAUCCUUGAAAUUUGGGGAGGUGAUUCAGCAGUGAAAUCUCCAGCCUUUUGGCAGAAUCCUCUUGGAUUCUUGGUUUCAGCCUUGGUAAGGGAGCAGCCACUUCCUCCUGCAAUCCAAAAGGCCAUCUCUCCCCUUCCCCAUCCCCUUAGGGCUGAUGCACAGCCAUGUGUCCAGGACUCAAGGGAUCAGGUGCUCACGCCCAACGUUCAACAUUCCGUAUUUGAGGCAGCAGUGGGCUGGGAAACUGGGUCUCUUGGGAAAACAAAACCCAGCCCUGAUUUUUAUCAUUUGCUAAUUUCUGUGGUGUUGAUUACAGUGGCUGAUUUCAAACGACAAAUAUUUCAACACCCAUUUUGCAAAACUCCUGAAUAGUUCAUGGUAGUCUCUCACGAGCAGGUUGGAUUCCCGUGCGGUACAGCUCUGACAGGGGACGAUGCCUGGACACCUUCGGGGAAGAGUCUGGCAUCAGUGACUGACAGUGCCAGGUGGCAGCCACGGCAGGAACUGGUGUCAGUGGUAGAGGAGCCAGGGAUGGGCUCCACCAACCAUACCUGCUGGUGACCUUGACUCUUUUCUUUUGCCCACUUUCCCUAACGCGUGCUCAUUCUCUGACCCUGGUUCUUUCACCUUCCUGUCAAUUCUGUGAGCAUCUCAAUAGCCUCCAAUAAUUGCUUUUCUGCCGAUGUCAGCCAGGGUUGGUUCCUAUCGCCUGUCACAAAGAAUCAUAACAUUCCUUUAAUUAAGCCUAAUGAUAAUCCUGUGAGUAAGGUCCUGUGAUUAUUAUCUCCAGUUUACAGAUGAGGAAUGAAGCUCAGGGAAGUCAAGUAACUUGACCAAGGUCACACACAGCUUUUAAAUAACAGAACUCAAACGCUCUUUCUACUGCACCAAGCUUCCUCUCACAAACCAUGGCCACUUCUGUAUAUCCAGUACUUACCCUUGGUCUAGGGCUCCAUUAGGCCGGCAUUACCUUAGAAACAUUAUUUGGGGUAUAACAUUUUUGAAUAAAAUAAAUAACUUUUCCACACACUAGAUCCAAGUAACCAUUGCCAUCUUGGUAUCUAGAGAUACCCGUUUGUAAAGAGUAGUUGAGGGGCGCCUGGGUGGCUCAGUCGGUUAAGCGUCCGACUUCAGCUCAGGUCAUGAUCUCACAGUUCGUGGGUCCGAGCCCCACGUCGGGCUCUGUGCUGACAGCUCAGAGCCUGGAGCCUGCUUCGGAUUCUGUGUCCCCCUCUCUCUCUGACCCUCCCCUGCUCAU